rnacentral:sRNA from 1 species
UUCUUGCGUAAGGGAUAGAAGUGGAAAUCCUUUUUAUCAUGUAGCGUUAGCGAAAUGAAAAAAGAUUACCUCAUCUUACUUUUAUUUUAGCCGGAAUUCGGUGAAUUUCAUUUGCAACGAAUAGCCCGACCCUUG